UUUUAAAAAAUGAUGAUAGGAGUCUUGUAAUCAAGAUCAAGAGUAUAGAUCUGGUUUUAAAUAGUUUAAAGAAUUUUCUAACAAAAAUUCAAUUGAUUUGGAUAUCUUUACGCCGUUAAACGAGAAAACGCCUCUUAUCGACUAUUAAAAUUACAAAUUUUGCAACCCUUUGAUCAUUAGGUAAAUGAUGUCGAAAAAAUUUGAAAUUUGAUUUCUAAACACUUCAAGUGGUAUAGAUCAUGUUCAAUGGAGCCGAUCGUCAAUUGGAAGUUCUAUCAUCGAAAACAAAUCGGUAGUAAAACGGCUCGUUUACUACCGAUAGUAUUCUAGCUCAACUCUAUAUAUAUAUAUGUGUGUGUGUGUGUGUGGAAUAGUGUUUAAUCCAAGUGGUAUUAGUAAUUAAAGAGUAGAUCCAAGGGCUAGAAACUUAGAAGUACCAAGAGUUGGUGCUUCUAAAAGUAUUCUAGCUCAAUUCAUAUAUAUACAUAUAUGUAUAUAUAUGAAUUGAGCUAGAAUACUCUCAAAAGCACUAAGGGGAUGAUAUUUUUGAGUUUUUAACAAUUGGAUGGAGAGAUGUAUAUACGGUUGAGAUGAUGGUGGUAGAUGUUAGUAGGUGGAAUAGUGUUUGAUCCAAGAGGUAUUAGUAAUUAAGGAGUAGAUCCAAUGGCCAGAAACUUAGAAGCACCAAGGGGUUGGUGCUUCUAAAAGUAUUCUAGCUCAAUUAUAUAUAUAUAUAUAUAUAUAUAUAUAUAUAUAUAUAGAGCUAGGUUGGUAUACUAUCGGUAGCACGGAGGUCUUCAUGCUACCAAGUUGUUUUCAAUGAUGACGCUUCCAAAUUGACGAUCGGCUUCGUUAGACUUGAUUUACACUAUUAAAAAUAUUUGAAAACUAAAUUUCAUAAUUUUUCGACACCAUUUGAGGUUUUCCCUAAUAAUAUUAUUAGCAAU
rnacentral:lncRNA from 1 species